CAAGCUCAGGCCUGUCGUUUAAUCCAAGCAGUGGUUGGGGGAAUCCCAUUCCCAACGCUGCCAGUGCAUUGGCUUCAGUGAGUUUCAUUUCAUGCUUGGGUGUGGUGAGGAAAUCAGGUAGAAGGAUAUGGAUUAUUUAAAGGCAUUCACAGUAGAACGGAAAAUACGACAGAAUCGAUGAAAAACUACACACAAACAAAGACUAGUGAGCAAUCACUGUGCAAAAGAAGACAAACUGCG